GUUCUGCUUCCGUUGUGCUUUGAAUUUGUGCAGUUCUUCCAUGGCUUCUGGAACUUCAAUUACCGCACCUGAGGCCGUCCAGGUGCUGGUGUCGUUACUAGCCGAUGAUUCUCUCGCUGUUAGGGAGGCCUCCAGGGCCUCUCUCAAAGACAUUGCUGCUCUGAAUCCUCUUUUAGUUCUCG